GCCGGCGUCAGAUCUCCCUGCAGCCUGCAGUUCUCACCUGGUUUCCCACUGAAGAUAAGCAGGGUUGAGUCUGGCCACUACCUGGAUGACCUGCUGGGGAAAACUAAGGCUGCUGCCGGAA
rnacentral:rRNA from 1 species